rnacentral:misc_RNA from 1 species
UCUCCGAUGGUGAACCAGCGGAGGGAUCAUUGCAGGACUCGCCAGACUCCUACCACCCUGUGAACUUAACUAUCUGCACGUUGCUUCGGCGGGUGUCUCGGUGGGGGUUCUCCCUCCCCUAGCCGCUAAACCCGCCGCCCGCCUACUAUACUCUGUCUCUUUGCGUUGGCAUCCCGAGUACAAUCAAGCAGGUUAAAACUUUCAACAGCGAAUCUCUUGGUUCUGGCAUCGAUGAAGAAC